UACAGAGGUCUCGAGCGUUAGGCGGAAUCACUGGGCUUAAAGCGUGUGUAGGUGGAUCGUUAAGUACCUUGUGAAAUCCCACGGCUUAACCGUGGAACUGCUUGGUAUACUGGCGGUCUUGAGCCACUUAGGGGCUACCGGAACAAAUGGUGGAGCGGUGAAAUGCGUAGAUAUCAUUUGGAACGCCAAUGGUGAAAACAGCUCGCUGGGGGUGCACUGACACUGAGACACGAAAGCCAGGGGAGCGAACGGG
rnacentral:rRNA from 1 species